rnacentral:rRNA from 1 species
UACAGAGGGUGCAAGCGUUAAUCGGAGUUACUGGGCGUAAAGCGCACGUAGGCCGAUUGUUAAGUCAGGGGUGAAAUCCUGGAGCUCAACUCCAGAACUGCCCUUGAUACUGACGGUCUCGAGUCCGGGAGAGGUGAGUGGAACUGCGAGUGUAGAGGUGAAAUUCGUAGAUAUUCGCAAGAACACCAGUGGCGAAGGCGGCUCACUGGCCCGGUACUGACGCUGAGGUGCGAAAGCGUGGGGAGCAAACAGG